AUUCUAUAAUGUUAUUCUAUCCUGAUAUUCUAUCACUUCUAUGAAACAAGUUAACUAAGACAUACGUAAACUAAUUCAUCCCUCAGACAAGCUCACGUCGACGGCCGGCGGUACUUGGAACAGAAGAUUGCAGAGCAUUUCACGCAGAGCGACGGGAGCACGCAAUUGUAUGUUGGUCGCGAAGGACUUCUACCAGGGCUUAAUGCUUGGCCCAUUCCACAUAAUGCACCAUACAAGCAGGCAUUUGAUCGUGUGUUUUGGGCUGUGCAAGAGGCAGGACUUUACAAGAAGUGGAUGGAUGACAUGCUAUCACUAGCCCGUCGGGAAGGCAGGCAAAAGCGACUUCAACUAUUACUGCAGGAAGGAAAACCUACAUCAUAUGUACUGGUGACAGGAAAACGACGCCCUUUAACUGUUAAGCACCUCCAAGGUCCCAUGUUCCUUAUUAUCAUUGGAUGGAUCUUUUCUUUUGUAACUUUUGCUAUAGAAUAUUUGCCCAAAGCUAUUCCUGAAGGAUGCACAUGAAUAUGGAUUGUACCCAGCUGUAAAGUGUGAACAGCUGAAAAGACCGCUUUUUUACAUAUUUAAUUAGAUAACAUGUUUCGGAGCAUCUUGUCUUAUUAAGCACCCCACAGUUUUCUUUGUUUAGGCUCUAUAGGUGUAUGUUUCUCUCUCUCUCUCUCUCUCUCUCUCUCUCUCUCUCUCUCUCUCUCUCUCUCUCUCUCUCUCUCUCUCUCUCUCUCUCUCUCUCUCUC